rnacentral:rRNA from 1 species
AACGAACGCUGGCGGCAGGCCUAACACAUGCAAGUCGAGCGCCCUUUCGGGGGAGCGGCGGACGGGUGAGUAACGCGUGGGAAUAUGCCCUUCUCUACGGAAUAGCCUCGGGAAACUGAGAGUAAUACCGUAUACGCCCUGUGGGGGAAAGAUUUAUCGGGGAAGGAUUAGCCCGCGUUGGAUUAGGUAGUUGGUGGGGUAAUGGCCUACCAAGCCGACGAUCCAUAGCUGGUUUGAGAGGAUGAUCAGCCACACUGGGACUGAGACACGGCCCAGACUCCUACGGGAGGCAGCAGUGGGGAAUCUUAGACAAUGGGGGCAACCCUGAUCUUGCCAUGCCGCGUGAGUGAUGAAGGCCUUAGGGUUGUAAAGCUCUUUCAGCUGGGAAGAUAAUGACGGUACCAGCAGAAGAAGCCCCGGCUAACUCCGUG